rnacentral:tRNA from 1 species
GCCGGAAUAGCUCAGUGGUAGAGCGUGUCACUCGUAAUGACAAGGUCCACGGUUCGAUCCCGUGUUUCGGCA